AUGGCUGUGUGCCCCGUUCUCGGAAGCGUCGACGGGUUUCCGGCAUGCGGAUUUCAGCGUUUGGACUCGACUUUUGGUGAGGAUGUCGAUCGACCUUGGGCCUGGUGACAGCACACCCGACAUGGCCAAAGUGCAGCCUAUCAGUUGAGUGCCCCCGAAUGGACCAUCAACAUCGGAAAAUGAAACAGAGCCAGGGGGAAAAGGUUCCGGUAACACCAUGCAUUCAGUAUG